rnacentral:rRNA from 1 species
AGCGAACGCUGGCGGCAGGCCUAACACAUGCAAGUCGAACGGACCCUUCGGGGUUAGUGGCGGACGGGUGAGUAACACGUGGGAACGCGCCUUUAGGUUCGGAAUAGCUCCUGGAAACGGGUGGUAAUGCCGAAUGUGCCCUUUGGGGGAAAGAUUUAUCGCCUUUAGAGCGGCCCGCGUCUGAUUAGCUAGUUGGUGAGGUAAAGGCUCACCAAGGCGACGAUCAGUAGCUGGUCUGAGAGGAUGACCAGCCACAUUGGGACUGAGACACGGCCCAAACUCCUACGGGAGGCAGCAGUGGGGAAUCUUGCGCAAUGGGCGAAAGCCUGACGCAGCCAUGCCGCGUGAAUGAUGAAGGUCUUAGGAUUGUAAAAUUCUUUCACCGGGGACGAUAAUGACGGUACCCGGAGAAGAAGCCCCGGCUAACUUCGUGCCAGCCGCCGCCGUAACAC